rnacentral:rRNA from 1 species
UACGAAGGGGGCUAGCGUUGCUCGGAAUCACUGGGCGUAAAGCGCACGUAGGCGGAUCGCUAAGUCAGGGGUGAAAUCCUGGAGCUUAACUCCAGAACUGCCUUUGAUACUGGCAAUCUCGAGUCCGGGAGAGGUGAGUGGAACUGCGAGUGUAGAGGUGAAAUUCGUAGAUAUUCGCAAGAACACCAGUGGCGAAGGCGGCUCACUGGCCCGGUACUGACGCUGAGGUGCGAAAAGCGUGGGGGAGCAAACAGG